rnacentral:rRNA from 1 species
CACGUAGGGCGCGAGCGUUGUCCGGAUUUAUUGGGCGUAAAGGGCUCGUAGGUGGUUUGUCACGUCGAAAGUGAAAAUCCGGGGCUCAACUCCGGACUUGCUUUCGAUACGGGCAGACUAGAGGUAGGCAGGGGAGAAUGGAAUACCUGGUGUAGCGGUGGAAUGCGCAGAUAUCAGGUGGAACACCGGUGGCGAAGGCGGUUCUCUGGGCCUUACCUGACACUGAGGAGCGAAAGCGUGGGGAGCGAAC